UACGAGUGCCCCAAGCGUUAUCCGGAAUUAUUGGGCGUAAAGGGUGUGUAGGUGGUUUUGUUAGUCUUCUGUUAAAGCUCCCGGCUUAACCGGGAAAGUGCAGAGGAAACGGCAAGACUAGAGGAUGUGAGGGGUCUAUGGAACUCAUGGUGUAGGGGUGAAAUCCGUUGAUAUCAUGGGGAACACCAAAAGCGAAGGCAAUAGACUGGCGCAUUCCUGACACUGAAACACGAAAGCGUGGGUAGCGAAUGGGG
rnacentral:rRNA from 1 species